AUGCCUAUAUAAUAGAAGUGAUGUUAGUUUUACUUAUUACAAGAAAUAAAAUAGAACGUGAAAUCAAACAAAAUGGCAUUUCAAACCAAUCAAUCUUAUCUAUUUGAUAUACUCUGCAUUUUUAUGAUGAUGAGUUCAGGAUUCGUUGCUAGUGUGGUGGUACCUCCAGGAGGAGUAUGUACGGUGCCUUGCACUGCAACUUGUGAUAGAGAUUGUCACGACAAGGGAUUUCAGAAAAGUGGAUGCUUUACUCAUCUUGAGAAGACGACUUGUUGUUGUUUUCACUAAUGAGUUCUAUUGUAUCAUUGCAAUCAAAAUAAAGAAAUAAAAAUGCUCUUGAACAUGGCAUUGAAACUUACAAUGUGUAAGAAUCUCUAUAAAAACUAUGAACAUGAUUGUCAACGUGUGUGAUUCAAAAUAAGAUCUAAUUUAUAUAAUUUUCAUUC